CCCUGGUGACAUAGGGUCACAUCCUGUUACUCGAGCAGGCAGGUCCUGGGUAGAUCCCAGGGAGGUGGGUUGGUAAAGGAUAAAGAGCUCCUGGGUGGUCAGCAGCUGGCUGCAGUUUCCCAGGAAACAGCUUCUGGCAGACACUCAAUCUCCAGUUGUAACAGGUGGUGUGGAGUCCGCUGGCCCAGAAAGUGGGCUGAAGGCCUAGUCCUGCCAAUGAACUUGCUGUAUAAACUUUUCUGUCUAUCAAAUGAGAGACGGAGUUUUGCCAUGUUGCCCGAGCUGGUCUCCAACUCCUGGGCUCAAGUGAUCCUCCCACCUCGACCUCCCAAACUGCUGGGAUUACAGGUUUGAGCUACUGCACCCAGCCUAUUCUCACUUUCUAUAUGGCUUCAGGCAUCUUGGAGGGAGGCCAUCACCUCAGAGGUGGAGAAAUGUCAAGCUAGUUGAAUAACAGACACCAAAGAUUUUGAGGAGUGCAGAGCGAAGAGCCUUGGGCUGAGAGCUUGAGUCCUGACUGUUUCAGUGAGACCAGCAAGUACCUUCUCUCUCCAGCUUCUCCAUUUCCACUUCUGCAAACUCUGGACUCUAAGGACCCAAGAUGGCUGGAAACAAGAUGGCGGAGCACGAAGGCCCUUGCCAGAUGCCAGCACUAUGCCCUUGGACUCCCCAGCCUCCAUAACCAUGAGCCAAAUAAAAUUCUAUUGUUUUAAAUUGCCCAGUCUGUGGUAUUCUGUUAUAGCAGCACAAAAUAGACCAAAACGAUGCUCUACACUGGCUGGCAGAGUUCACUGAUGGGAUUGUGCUC